UUGGAUGGGUUUCCCCCCAGCGCGAUUAACAGCUCCUGUUUGUAUGGCACCACGGAGAGGAUAAGAGCGAAACGUCUUUUGUGAUCAAAGCGUUCGUGCUGCCGUGGUGAUGCGGGAACCGAAAUGGGACAGAGCUACAAGUGGCAAGAAGCUUAUUUCCAYCCGCUUUCUGCAGUAAGAAA